CCAGGAAGAACACUCACUCCCGGCCAUACUUGCGUGUGAGUUCUGACCCCUGGAGGAGCCACUGUGGAAUCAGAGCAAUCGCCAUGGAGUUUGUGAUGAAGCAGGCCCUAGGAGCCACACGCCAGGGCCGCUGCCGAGACAGACGGUGCGCGAGCGUGCGUGGGCACGUUUCUCCACAGAGGAGCACCCGCCCUAGCCGGCCGCCGCGCAGGAGUGGGACGCCGGGUGAACUCCGCACGUGCUCGCGGCGACGCACUGCGUUCCAAAAUGGCUGCCCCCUGCGUUCCAAAAUGGCUGCCGCCGCCCACCUUUCCCGUGGAGGCUGAGCGCGCCGCUCCCCACGCUUGCCGGCCUCCAGG
rnacentral:lncRNA from 1 species